AUCGCUUCUCGGCCUUUUGGCUAAGAUCAAGUGUGUGUGUGUAGAAUAAAUUUUACUCUUUAGUGUAUUCAGCUUAAAGGUGGACCCUGUGCUGUUGUGUUUGAUCUUAUCUGCUCCGUUUUCAUAAGAAUUUGUAACCCAAC